rnacentral:tRNA from 1 species
CGCGGGAUGGAGCAGUGGUAGCUCGUCGGGCUCAUAACCCGAAGGUCGUAGGUUCGAGUCCUGCUCCCGCAA